rnacentral:rRNA from 1 species
AUUGAACGCUGGCGGCAGGCCUAACACAUGCAAGUCGAGCGGCAGCGGGAAAGUAGCUUGCUACUUUUGCCGGCGAGCGGCGGACGGGUGAGUAAUGCCUGGGGAUCUGCCCAGUCGAGGGGGAUAACUACUGGAAACGGUAGCUAAUACCGCAUACGCCCUACGGGGGAAAGCAGGGGACCUUCGGGCCUUGCGCGAUUGGAUGAACCCGGGUGGGAUUAGCUAGUUGGUGAGGUAACGGCUCACCAAGGCGACGGUCCCUAGCUGAUCUGAGAGGAUGAUCAGCCACACUGGGACUGAGAAACGGUCCAGACUCCUACGGGGGGCAGCAGUGGGGGAUAUUGCACAAUGGGGGAAACCCUGAUGCAGCCAUGCCGCGUGUGUGAAGAAGGCCUUCGAGUUGUAAAGCACUUUCAGCGAGGAGGAAAGGUUGGUAGCUAAUAACUGCCAGCUGUGACGUUACUCGCAGAAGAAGCACCGGCUAACUCCGUGCCAGCCGCCGCAGUAACAC